rnacentral:rRNA from 1 species
UGGGGAAUAUUGGACAAUGGGGGAAACCCUGAUCCAGCAAUGCCGCGUGAGUGAAGAAGGCCUUAGGGUUGUAAAGCUCUUUCGCCCGCGAAGAUAAUGACGGUAGCGGGAGAAGAAGCCCCGGCUAACUCCGUGCCAGCAGCCGCGGUAAUACGGAGGGGGCUAGCGUUGUUCGGAAUUACUGGGCGUAAAGCGUACGUAGGCGGAUGCGCAAGUUGGGGGUGAAAUCCCGGGGCUUAACCUCGGAAUUGCCCUCAAAACUGCACGUCUUGAGACCGAGAGAGGUAAGGGGAAUUCUUAGUGUAGAGGUGAAAUUCGUAGAUAUUAGGAAGAACACCAGUGGCGAAGGCGCCUUACUGGCUCGGUACUGACGCUGAGGUACGAAAGCGUGGGGAGCAAACA